UACGUAGGGUGCAAGCGUUGUCCGGAAUUAUUGGGCGUAAAGGGCUCGUAGGCGGUUCGUCACGUCGGGAGUGAAAACUCGGGGCUUAACCCCGAGCCUGCUUCCGAUACGGGCAGACUAGAGGUAGGCAGGGGAGAGCGGAACUCCUGGUGUAGCGGUGGAAUGCGCAGAUAUCAGGAAGAACACCGGUGGCGAAGGCGGCUCUCUGGGCCUUACCUGACG
rnacentral:rRNA from 1 species